UCCGUAGGUGGAUAAUUAAGUCAGAGGUGAAAUCCUGCAGCUCAACUGUAGAAUUGCCUUUGAUACUGGUUAUCUUGAGUUAUUAUGAAGUAGUUAGAAUAUGUAAUGUAGCGGUGAAAUGCAUAGAUAUUACAUAGAAUACCAAUUGCGAAGGCAGAUUACUAAUAAUGUACUGACACUGAUGGACGAAAGCGUGGGGAGCGAACAGGAUUAGAUACCCUGGUAGUCC
rnacentral:rRNA from 1 species